rnacentral:rRNA from 1 species
AUGCAGGAGCUAGGGUUGAGAGAGGAGGACCUCGACGACGUGGUCUUCGAUGUGGAGGGGGCACCACCUGACGCUGCGAGGUGGGUGGCGUUGGCUAGGGUUAAUACUCCAAAAACCUAUAGUCAGACGUGGUUUUAUCGGAACAUGAGAUCGGCGUGGGACUUGGCGCAGGAGGUGAAAUUCAGACCGCUGGAAGACAAUUUAUACACAAUCCAGUUUGCGUGUCUCGGAGAUUGGGAG